UAAGUGGGCUUUCGAAAAGGACCCAGUGUC
rnacentral:piRNA from 1 species